UGCCCCAUGGCUGAGUUGGUUACAGCGUCCGACUGUUAUGUUCUAAUAAUGAUAUCGGAAGGUCGAGAGUUCGAGCCUCUCUGGGGCAG